rnacentral:rRNA from 1 species
UACGGAGGGUGCAAGCGUUAUCCGGAUUUACUGGGUUUAAAGGGUGCGUAGGCGGGUUGGUAAGUCCGUGGUGAAAUCCCCAAGCUUAACUUGGGAACUGCCGUGGAUACUAUCAAUCUUGAAUAUCGUGGAGGUAAGCGGAAUAUGUCAUGUAGCGGUGAAAUGCUUAGAUAUGACAUAGAACACCAAUUGCGUAGGCAGCUUACUACACGAUCAUUGACGCUGAGACACGAAAGCGUGGGGAGCAAACAGG